AGCACCAGCAUUCCUACCAGAACAACCUGUUUGCACGCAAUCUCAAUGAUUCUUCAUAAGCAGGUGGGAAAUUCGGUGGAACACAGCGAAACGCCGGUAACAACUAUGUCUAGAAUAUAGUGUUAUCUACCAAGGAUAUGUCUUCGUAAGAAGAUAUUAUCUUGUAUCUCGUGAGAGACCGUCACUGGAAAGUGAGGGUGGUCGUUGUUAUCAGAAAUAUACAUGUUAUGUGUCACGGGCCUGGUCCUGUGGUAUCUAAUGUGAUGGGAAUGGCAGCGGAUGUUUCGUUUGACUUUGCUUCUUGGAAAGUAAAGGUCUGUUGAGUGCAAUGGUAGGAGAAUGUCCAUUGGACGUUUAACCCGAUACCGAUUACUGUUGAUGCU
rnacentral:RNase_P_RNA from 2 species